CACGGGGGGAGCAAGCGUUGUUCGGAAUCACUGGGCGUAAAGGGCGUGUAGGCGGUCAGGUAAGUGGAAUGUGAAAUCCCUCGGCUCACCCGAGGACCUGCAUCCCAAACUGCCUGGCUUGAGUAUGGGAGAGGAUGAGGGAAUUCCUGGUGUAGCGGUGAAAUGCGUAGAUAUCAGGAGGAACACCUAUGGCGAAGGCAGCUCGCUGGGACGGUACUGACGCUGAGACGCGAAAGCGUGGGGAGCGAACAGG
rnacentral:rRNA from 1 species